rnacentral:rRNA from 1 species
AGCGAACGCUGGCGGCAGGCUUAACACAUGCAAGUCGAGCGGGCCCUUCGGGGUCAGCGGCAGACGGGUGAGUAACACGUGGGAACGUGCCCUUCGGUUCGGAAUAACUCAGGGAAACUUGAGCUAAUACCGGAUACGCCCUUUUGGGGAAAGGUUUACCGCCGAAGGAUCGGCCCGCGUCUGAUUAGCUAGUUGGUGGGGUAACGGCCUACCAAGGCGACGAUCAGUAGCUGGUCUGAGAGGAUGAUCAGCCACACUGGGACUGAGACACGGCCCAGACUCCUACGGGAGGCAGCAGUGGGGAAUAUUGGACAAUGGGCGCAAGCCUGAUCCAGCCAUGCCGCGUGAGUGAUGAAGGCCUUAGGGUUGUAAAGCUCUUUUGUCCGGGACGAUAAUGACGGUACCGGAAGAAUAAGCCCCGGCUAACUUCGUGCCAGCCGCCGCGGUAAGAC